rnacentral:rRNA from 1 species
AUUGAACGCUGGCGGCAGGCCUAACACAUGCAAGUCGAACGGCAGCACAGAAGAGCUUGCUCUUUGGGUGGCGAGUGGCGGACGGGUGAGUAAUGUCUGGGAAACUGCCCGAUGGGGGGGGAUAACUACUGGAAACGGUAGCUAAUACCGCAUAACGUCGCGAGACCAAAGUGGGGGACCUUCGGGCCUCACACCAUCGGAUGUGCCCAGAUGGGAUUAGCUAGUAGGUGGGGUAAUGGCUCACCUAGGCGACGAUCCCUAGCUGGUCUGAGGGGAUGCCCAGCCACACUGGAACUGAGACACGGUCCAGACUCCUACGGGAGGCAGCAGUGGGGAAUAUUGCACAAGGGGCGCAAGCCUGAUGCAGCCAUGCCGCGUGUAUGAAGAAGGCCUUCGGGUUGUAAAGUACUUUCAGCGGGGAGGAAGGCGGUGAGGUUAAUAACCUCGCCGAUUGACGUUACCCGCAGAAGAAGCACCGGCUAACUCCGUGCCAGCAGCCGCCGUAA